rnacentral:rRNA from 1 species
UACGUAGGGGGCAAGCGUUGUCCGGAUUUAUUGGGCGUAAAGCGUCCGCAGGUGGCGAUUCAAGUCUGCGGUCAAAGACUGGGGCUUAACCCUGGAAAGGCCGUGGAAACUGAAAAGCUAGAGUGCAGUAGGGGUAGAGGGAAUUCCCGGUGUAGCGGUGAAAUGCGUAGAGCUCGGGAAGAACAUCGGUGGCGAAAGCGCUCUGCUGGACUGCAACUGACACUCAGGGACGAAAGCUAGGGGAGCGAAUGGG